ACGCCGUUGGUGAAACGGUAUCAUGCGUCGUUGCCAUUGCUCUGAAGUCUAUGAAGCUUCUCCAAAUGCGUCGACGCGGCAGGGGUUCGACUCCCUUACGGCGUA